AAUUUAAUUCUGGCAAAUUUAAAAUGGAAAAAGAAAAAAGAGCAAAACUACUCUACUCCCCCAAGAUGUCAUUAAUCUGACAUAUAGCCAGAGUUUGAAUACCCUAAGUUCACAUUCCCAACAUGUGGAUGGAAGAUUUAAGCCCAAUACGUCUAGUCAAGAGGACCCUUGGGAGGCCACCUCAGUCCAGGUAACCCUGCAGUAGAGGCCAGGAGGGCGCAAAGGGACCUGGGUCGUACAAACACUGAGCCAGGCUAUGAAGUUGGGGACAGAGGAGGGACUGCUGAUACAUGUUCCAGGCACAUGGGGGUCCCAAGAAGAAUGGUGACACAUCAGCAACCUCAGUGAAUAUAAUCAGAAACAUCUGAAGAAGCUGAGAACCGUGAAGACAGAGCUACCUGCUCUCCUUUUGCAAUGCCCCGUACUCAGCUCCAGGUUUCCUGUCCUCCAGGGAGCUCUUGUGUUGUCUUCUUAUUAUAUGUCCACUUAACUUCCUGCCUUGGGCUCAGAUGUCUCUGUUCACUUGUCAGGGCUCCGGAGGCUUUUGUGUCUCUUCAACUAGAAAAGGUGGGGCUGCGGGACAUGAUGCUGAACGCCUUCCUCCUCAGGAAACAAACCAUGGCCAACAGAAUGAAGAGCCUUGAUGAAAUCAGUAAAGUCAAGAGAGACGUUAUAGUUGAAUAUUGUCAGAAGUUCAACUGCCGUAUGUCUCACUAUGCUCUUCGGGGUCAGAUUAUGGCAUACUGCAAUAGCCUGAGAGCCCUGCUGGAAGAUUUCCCUACCAUAAGGGACACCUUUUUCAUGGUGGGGCAACCACAAGAAAAGAAAGGGUUGAGAGACUCCAAGGAGGGCCUCAAGGCUGACCCCAGGUGCCCAGUUUGUGGAUACCAGUGUCGGUCUCAUGAGCUCAGCCAGUGCAUUCACUUCCGUAGACUUCUGGAUUUACCCAAUGGAAGAAUGCAUUUGAAGGAAGGGUGGGGCAAAUAUACCUCUGUAGACUGACUAUUUUGCUGGAGGGUUUGACUAUAUACCUGUUGCCCAAUGAGGCUGAAGCGUAUCUUUCUCUCCUGUGAAACAUCACAGGAUAGUCCUCUAAGACUUCUUAGUUUCAUUAUCUCAUCUACCCAGUAGCCAAGUCAACCAUUUAUAAGCCCAAUCUAUAUUUGGGAUCAAAUUUUUAGAAUAGUUUCCAGAAGUCUAACCACAUGUUCACUACAUUUGUAUUUAGGAUAAAACGUAUUCAGGAAGUCUGUUUUUGUUUCUGAUCUGUUUUAUUUGAAGCACCCAAAUAAGGAGGUCAGGAAGUAGAAAGAAAAAGAAAAAGAAAAAAAAUGUCUCUAACUUGCGGGUCUUGCUCUAUUCCUGUAUUGUUUAUUGUAGAUGACUGUGUGUUUCCUUAAGAUCAAAGGAAACCAUCAUUUAAGGGGGAUGAGCCUAGAGACCUAAAUCAUGUGGUCAGUUAGUGUGUGAUAAUUUCACGGCAGGACUUUGGUCAAUAAAAGUGUGAGCAAACCAAGUGCCCACCCAGAGCCCAAGUCAUAGACGGUGGAUGAGCAGUGACUGAUAAAGAUUCAGUAUUUUUCGACUAUACCUCUUACUUCCUAAACUCUCUAGACUUCAACAUGUCCCUUUUAAUACACCACAGAGAAUGGA
rnacentral:lncRNA from 1 species